ACUGAACUAGAUAAUGAGAAAGUGACAGCCAGAGAGAGCAAAACUAGCACCAACAUUUUUUUUAAGUACGUAGAUUUAAAAAUACAUAAAAUUAAAGUGUAGGCAGACUGAAAUCAGUGUGUUUUAUUUAAUGAAGACCAGGAAAAAAGCAGAAAUUUUAAAUAACAAUGUUUCCUCAGUAUAUUUUGAGGAAAAAUCUAUGGUAAGACAUAUGCAAAUGAUAGCUGCAAAAAUUUUGCAGACAACUUGUGAUUUGCUGAUUCAAAACAAGGUGCUGCAGCAAGUAAAGAAAGUUAAUGAAACAAAGCCCCAGGGCCUGACAGUAUUCUCCCACAAGUACUUAAGGAGCUAAGUGUGGAAAUAAGCGAACCACUGUUUUUAAUCUUUCAGAAUUCUUUUCUUUCAGGAAUUGUACCAGAGGAUUGGAGGCAGGCAGUAUUAUUCAAAAUCUUUGCCUGGAAAUUAUAGACCUGUGAGCUUAACUUGUGUGGCUGGUAAAGUAUUUGAUGAGCUAUUAAGGGAUAUUUUUCAGGAAUUCAUUGAGAACAUAAGCAAAAAAUCUGCAUGUUUUUAUGAAACAUAGGUCAUGUCAAACUAACUUAAUUGUACUCUACGAAGAAGUAAGUAGAAGUACAGAUCAGGGUGUUGUAGUGGAUGUGAUCUAUUUGGAUUUUGCCAAGGUCAAUAUAGCUCCACACAAUAGAAAUUGAUCUAGAUGAAAAUUAUUGUUCUCGGAUAGAACAUUGUCUUAACAAUGAAGUACAGAGAGUUGUCAUUAAUGGUACAUUUUCAAGCUGGGCAAAAGUGGUAAGUGGAUUCUGUUCUGUGAAUGUUUUUGUUCAACGGAUUUUAAAUGAUCCUGAAAGAGGAAUUUGCAGGUGACACAAAACUCUCAAAAGUAAUAGAAUGUGAUUAGGAUAUUGCUUUGCUGCAGAGGGAUUUAGAUAGAUUUGGAGACUGGGCACUCAAAUGGCAGAUGAAAUUUAAUGUAGAAAAAUGCAAAGUUAUACACUUUGAGGUAAAGAAGGUAUAAGCAAUUUACACCCUGAACGGUAGUGAAUUAGGAAUAGCAAUUUAGACCCUAAAUGGUAGUGAAUUAGGAAUAACAACAUACGAGAAGGAUUUAGGAAAUGUUAUAGAUAACGAACUAGGCAACAAUAUGCAAUGUCAAUCGGCAGUUCCUUAACUACAUAUAAAGUCUUAUGAUAAAUGUAAAAUACUCUGGUUGUCUACUACGUAAAAAAUGUGUCAUCUCAAACAUCUUAAAUGUUGUUUAAUACAAAACUGCCCCCAAUAGUAAUAGUUGUUAAUAAAGUUACAAAUUGUUAUGUACAUGAUCCAAUUUUCUGUAAUUCUGCUAAAACAAGAUAAAUAAAGGGAUGGGACAUUUUGGUAUCGGAGAUGCCCCACAAACUCAUUUUAUAGUACUAUGCAAAACAACCAGACAAAAAGUUUUGUUUAUGUGCUCCACAUAUAGCAUGAAAU